rnacentral:misc_RNA from 1 species
GGGGUGGACGUGCAAUUGAAGGUGAAGCAUCUAUUGCAGUAUUGGACACUGCCGCUGGAGUCUGGCUGGAUAGAAAUGGGCUGGUAACUUCAUCACGAGCAAACAAGGGUCACGCUGAUUACGAUUCCUCUUUGGAGCUUAUGCGCCGCUGUCGGCAUGCAGCUGCUUCUGUUGGUGUCCGAAUUUACAUUUAUGGUGGUCUUAGAGGGGAUAUGCUGCUAGAUGAUUUUUUGGUGGCGGAAAAUUCAUCUUUUCAGUCUGAAAUCAAUUCUCCUGUGAUAACAUCUGAGAGAGCAUCUCUUAUAACAAGUUCGAAAGUCA